UACGUAGGGUGCAAGCGUUAAUCGGAAUUACUGGGCGUAAAGCGUACGCAGGCGGUUUUGUAAGUUUGUCGUGAAAUCCCCGGGCUCAACCUGGGAAUGGCGAUGAAGACUGCAAGGCUAGAAUCUGGCAGAGGGGGGUAGAAUUCCACGUGUAGCAGUGAAAUGCGUAGAGAUGUGGAGGAACACCGAUGGCGAAGGCAGCCCCCUGGGUCAAGAUUGACGCUCAUGCACGAAAGCGUGGGGAGCAAACAGG
rnacentral:rRNA from 1 species